GUUAAAUGCCUUGAAGCUUGGAAAUAGAGAAACUUAUUAGAUAGAUUGUUUGGGUAGAAUGGUAGUAGUGAUUUUGGGCAACGUUCGAUGGUGAAACGAUGAGGCAAAAGGAAUUGUAUGUGUUGGGUGGAAUGAUGAUGUUAGUUCAAAAAGUUGUUAGUAUCUUUGUCCCGCUAGCCUUUCUUAUAUAGCCGUUAGUGAUGGUUAAUUCAAAAAGCAGUUACGAGUUCACCGCCCAUUUUAUGCUCCCCCGGGGUCUGAUUCUAAAGUCGAGUAAUUGGAGGGACGAGAGGGAAAAAUAGGCGAACUUUGUUGUUUUUCUUCGAUUUUGCCAAGUCCAAGCUGUUUUGAAAAUGGCCAAGAGGGAAAACUAAUAAGGCUUCUCAGUAUCAAGCGAAGAAUUGAAUUGGGCUUUGGGAAUUUGGCCUCGUUUCUCCUUGACUAGGGGUGUAAGAGUUGAGUAGUCGCUUCAUGCCUGGGUGUUUUUUCAUUAGCAGGAGCGUGCUCGCGCUCGCGGGUCAGGUAGCGUGUUGUACUGGAGGAUUUAUCCGCAAAAGUUGAGACACGUGAGAUGGGCCUCAUUUUUUAAGUAAUAAUUAUGAGACUUCACAGACAUUGGGUUCCUGCCACUGGGAGAGCUGUACAAGUGUUGUUCUGAAAGGUCUUUUUGCAUUUAUAGAAUUAUAAUUCAUAUUGCCUUUUAGAAGAGAAAUGUUUAAGAAUAAUGAUCAUGAAUUAAUCUUUUAAGGUAAUUUAAAAAAAAUUAGGUUAAAAACUUAAAAGAAUUCUCAAUUCUCUCAAUUGCA
rnacentral:misc_RNA from 1 species